UAGCUACUGUAAUGCCCAACAUGACAUCGACCAGGCAUUAAUAGCUUUGAAGAAGGUUGCUCAGCUUCUGAAAUAUGGACGCAAGGGAAAGCCUAAGUUUUGUCCAUUUAGACUUUCUAAUGAUGAAACAACUCUAAUCUGGAUUUCAAGCAGUCGUGAAAGAAGUUUGAAGUUAUCCUUAGUUUCUAAAAUAAUUCCUGGACAAAGAACUG